UGCGUAGACGGGAAGGUAAGUUAGUUGUGAAAUCCCUCGGCUCAACUGAGGAACUGCGACUAAAACUGCUUUUCUUGAGUGCUGGAGAGGAAAGUGGAAUUCCUAGUGUAGCGGUGAAAUGCGUAGAUAUUAGGAGGAACACCAGUGGCGAAGGCGACUUUCUGGACAGUAACUGACGUUGAGGCACGAAAGUGUGGGGAGCAAACA
rnacentral:rRNA from 1 species